GAUGAACGCUGGCGGCGUGCCUAACACAUGCAAGUCGAGCGAACGGACGAGAAGCUUGCGCUUCUGAGGUUAGCGGCGGACGGGUGAGUAACACGUGGAUAACCUACCUAUAAGACUGGGAUAACAUCGGGAAACCGGAGCUAAUAACGGAGAAUAUGUUUGAACCGCAUGGUUCAAAAGUGAAAGACGGUCUUGCUGUCGAAUAUAGAGGGAUCCGCGCUGCAUUAGCUAGUUGGUAAGGUAACGGCUUACCAAGGCAACGAUGCGUAGCGGACCUGAGAGGGUGAUCGGCCACACUGGAACUGAGACACGGUCCAGACUCCUACGGGAGGCAGCAGUGGGGAAUCUUCCGCAAUGGGCGAAAGCCUGACGGAGCAACGCCGCGUGAGUGAUGAAGGUCUUCGGAUCGUAAAGCUCUGUUAUUAGGAAAGAACAUCUGUGUAAGUAACUGUGCACAUCUUGACGGUACCUAAUCAGAAAGCCCCGGCUAACUACGUG
rnacentral:rRNA from 1 species